rfam:Aedes aegypti strain Liverpool supercont1.426 genomic scaffold, whole genome shotgun sequence.
CCUCUCAUUGCGUAGUGGUUAACGCGCCCCAACUAGAGAUCGGGGAGUCGUGAGUUCGAUUCUCACUGAGAAGA